UUAUUUUCAAGAUGUUGAGACUUGAGAGGCAUUUAUCUGAUUCUAUAUUGAUUGCAAUGGAGAAUACUGGUCUUUCGUGUUCUCUUCUUCAGUAGUUUUCUGCUAAUUAUAUAUUCCAAUAUAUGGCUCAUUGUUCCCCGCAACUAAUUUGGAACAGAAAUGAUGCUGGACUGGCAACUGCAAAGUUGGCUCUAGCCGUGGAGAAACAUGUGCUGAAUUUAGGAUCCGUUGACACUGUUGGAACUGUUGGUGAACUAUUAGACUGCCUCCGCGACCCUUCAGGAAUGACGAUUGCUAUGUUUCUGGAGUCACUGCUGCUAAGUGGCUUGUGGCUAGCUUUCGAGGAUUCAACAAUUGUAAAUGGCUGUCUAUGGGCUAUACCAAGAGAUGAAAAUGGGGUUCAUUUUGAUAUGCCAUCUCCCUGCUAUAACCAGAAAGAUUUCAUUCCACUUGAAGUAAAGGCUGGAUCUUUGGUAGUCAUUCAUGGAGAUCUUUUUCACCAGAGUUUUGAGAAUCAGUCUUCAAAGUCACGACAUGCAUACAGUUUACAUGUGGUGGAUACUAAUGGCUGCAAAUGGGCAGAAGACAACUCGAAUGACGAUUGCUAUGCUUCUGGAGUCAAUUGCUGCUAAGAAUCAUUGAUGCACGGGCUGUAGUGCUGAGUUAAUGUAUGUCCUGGAACCAACGAAGAAGGCUGCGGCUGUCAAGUUAAUUGAUGAUUGAUUAAUGAUCUUGUUUCUAUGUACGGAUACUACUACUAUCAUUUUUCACGCCUAGCAAGUUAAUUGAAGACGGAAUAAUGAUCUUUUUCUAUGUUGAUAUGCAAAGAAAAAAGAUGAAUAUCCAUUACAAAAGGUAUGUUAUUACUUUAUAGCAAAUUAUUAUACUUUUUGAAAAGUUUAGAUUUAAACACCUUCAAAUGUAACAUAUAAUUACCUCAAAAAGCUCAUCACCUCCCUUGUUUUGUGCACCUUCAAACAGAGCAUCUUAAUGAAAUAUAGUAAUGUCAUUAAAAUAAAAUUUAUAAUUUUUAUAGAACUUGAGAUUUAUAUUUCUUUAUAAGAAGUACCACUUACAGUGUAUUUUAGUGAAGGAUGACAAUAUUCCUUGAAAAGAGAUUCAUCAUCAGCAAAUUUUAGAACUUUGUAGAUUUCAUCCUGCUUGUAUAUAUUAGAUUCCUUCACCAUGACCUUAAACAUGAGUCUUUUUUCAACGAUAUCAUUCAAUUCACUUGGAUACGAACAUUCAUCAUUAUCAAUUAAGCUCUCCUUUAGCUCUUUUGCAGUUUUCCCCAUAAGUUGCACAGCUUCAUGGUUCCAAAGUAAUAGGGUUAUAAGACCAGUUCCAUCCAUUACACGCACUUGUAGCCUAUACCUGAAAUUCAUUCUUUAUCAUUUUAAUAAAAUAAAGUUUUUUCUUAAUAAUAAUUCAUGUAGGAUUGUAAUAACCUGUGAACAACUUUUGCCUCUGAAUUGCAUUUUGGACAAAAAAAUGAGUUUCCAUCUUGUUCAACCUUUAUAAUACACUUGUUGCAAGCCAUGUAUGAUCAACCAUGAUCAAGAUCAAAACAAACAACUUUUGCAGCAAUCCAAUAGCUAGCUUCCUGUUUGAUAGAGAAAAUAUUGUUAUAAUAUUUAAACACAUUGUGUUAAGUUAAUCGGGAAUGAAAAAGUUUAUUCAACUCACUUCUGUGCAUACAAUCAAAUUAUUGAUAUAUUUAAAAGGUACAAUUCCUUUGACUAACUCAUCCGUGAUAGAAUAACACUGUUGAGAACUUGUCUGGCUAAGCCGCUCAUAGUUAGAAUAACAUGCUGCAUUUAAUCUGAAUGAAAAAUAGUAUAAAAUUAUACAUUUAUCUAUAUUCUAAAUUUUAAUAUUAAAUUUAGUUGAUUAAUGUGUUAAACAAUAGUUGGAUGUGACAAACCUGGAUUUAAAAGCAAUAGAUUGCGGUAGAGAUGGAUUUAUCCAUAGCUUAGUUUGAUACCAACAACUACGAACGGAGUAGACAUCUGUUUGAAAUAAUAUUUAGAAUUUGAAAAUAAAAAUAAUUUUUGAAUAAAUCUGUUAUGUAUUAUAGUUUGAAAUAUUCGAACCUCUGAAUUUUUGAACCUUCAUAAAUUGAAGAACCACAAUCAAAUGUUCAUCUGUGGAUGCACUCAAAUAAGGUUGAAUUUGAUCCACAAGUUCGCCCCAUAAAGUUGUUGAAAGUCUAUUUCUCCUGUAAGAAUAAAGAUUUCAUUUGUGUGGUAUGUGCAUUUAUUAAAAUGAUUGUUUGUUCUCAACGAUCAGUGGAUGUGCUAGUGCCACAAAUUGUAAUGUAAAAAAGAAAAUAAGGCAUACUUAUCAUCUUCUAGCACAAUAUUUAUAAAUA